rnacentral:lncRNA from 1 species
GGCUGAGGCGUUCGCUAGUUGAGAUGAUGGCGAGUGGGACGCCGGAUUCGCAAGCCCGAUUUGGUCAGUCGGUGAAGGGGCUUCUCACGGAAAAGGUGAACACCUGCGGCACCGACGUAAUCGCGCUCACCAAGCAGGUGCUGAAAGGCUCGCGAAGCUCUGAGCUGCUGGGGCAGGCAGCUCGAAACAUGGUGCUACAGGAAGAUGCCAUCUUGCACUCAGAAGAUAGUUUAAGGAAGAUGGCGAUAAUAACAACACACCUUCAGUACCAGUGAGU